rnacentral:rRNA from 1 species
CGGGCUAAACCCGCGUACAUGCCACCGGGGCAUCCCGGAGGCAGGAAAGGCUUCGGCCGGACAGGGAUGGGCAUGCGGCGCAUUAGGCAGUAGGCGGGGUAACGGCCCACCUAACCGACGAUGCGUAGGGGUUCUGAGAGGAAGGUCCCCCACACUGGUACUGAGACACGGACCAGACUCCUACGGGAGGCAGCAGUGAGGAAUAUUGGUCAAUGGUCGGGAGACUGAACCAGCCAAGCCGCGUGAGGGAGGAAGGUACAGAGUAUCGUAAACCUCUUUUGUCAGGGAACAAAGACUGGGACGCGUCCCCGGAUGAGUGUACCUGAAGAAAAAGCAUCGGCUAACUCCGUGCCAGCAGCCGCGGUAAUACGGAGGAUGCGAGCGUUAUCCGGAUUUAUUGGGUUUAAAGGGUGCGCAGGCGGUCUGUUAAGUCAGCGGUCAAAGCCCGGGGCUCAACCCCGGCCCGCCGUUGAAACUGGCAGUCUCGAGUUGGAGAGAAGUAUGCGGAAUGCGCGGUGUAGCGGUGAAAUGCAUAGAUAUCGCGCAGAACUCCGAUUGCGAAGGCAGCAUGCCGGCUCCACACUGACGCUGAGGCACGAAAGCGUGGGUAUCGAACAGGAUUAGAUACCCUGGUAGUCCACGCAGUAAACGA